CGAGGGGAGACAUUCAUCCUCUUUUGACUGUCCCUGUUGACUUUCCUGUGGCAAAGGCUCCUUCUCAGAAGCCGCUGACUUUCGCCAAAUCAGCAUCAAGUCACAACUGCCCUCCCGUGUGAACCCAGGUAAAGAAUCUGCAGCUCCUAAAGACUGAGGAACUUCACCAGGGCCACAGACACCUGGAGCCAGGUUGAACCCAGAUUCGUCAGACGUGAACCGUUGCCCUAAGUCAGGUUAGUGCCG